rnacentral:rRNA from 1 species
UACGUAGGGGGCAAGCGUUAUCCGGAUUUACUGGGUGUAAAGGGUGCGUAGGUGGCAGGGCAAGUCAGAUGUGAAAGCCCGGGGCCCAACCCCGGUACUGCAUUUGAAACUGUCCGGCUGGAGUGCAGGAGAGGUAAGCGGAAUUCCUAGUGUAGCGGUGAAAUGCUUAGAGAUCAUACAGAACACCGAUUGCGAAGGCAGCUUACCAAGCUACUUCUGACGUUGAGGCACGAAAGCGUGGGGAGCAAACAGG